AGUGAACGCUGGCGGUAGGCCUAACACAUGCAAGUCGAACGGCAGCACAGUAAGAGCUUGCUCUUACGGGUGGCGAGUGGCGGACGGGUGAGGAAUACAUCGGAAUCUACUUUUUCGUGGGGGAUAACGUAGGGAAACUUACGCUAAUACCGCAUACGACCUACGGGUGAAAGCAGGGGAUCUUCGGACCUUGCGCGAUUGAAUGAGCCGAUGUCGGAUUAGCUAGUUGGCGGGGUAAAGGCCCACCAAGGCGACGAUCCGUAGCUGGUCUGAGAGGAUGAUCAGCCACACUGGAACUGAGACACGGUCCAGGCUCCUAGGGGAGGCAGCAGUGGGGAAUAUUGGACAAUGGGCGCAAGCCUGACCAGCCAUACCGCGUGGGUGAAGAAGGCCUUCGGGUUGUAAAGCCCUUUUGUUGGGAAAGAAAAGCAGCAGGUUAAUACCCCGCUGUUCUGACGGUACCCAAAGAAUAAGCACCGGCUAACUUCGUG
rnacentral:rRNA from 1 species